UGACUGCGUACCUUUUGUAUAAUGGGUCAGCGACUUAUAUUCUGUAGCAAGGUUAACCGCAUAGGGGAGCCGCAGGGAAACCGAGUCUUAAUUGGGCGUUAAGUUGCAGGGUAUAGACCCGAAACCCGGUGAUCUAGCCAUGGGCAGGUUGAAGGUUGGGUAACACUAACUGGAGGACCGAACCGACUAAUGUUGAAAAAUUAGCGGAUGACCUGUGGCUGGGGGUGAAAGGCCAAUCAAACCGGGAGAUAGCUGGUUCUCCCCGAAAGCUAUUUAGGUAGCGCCUCGUGAAUUCAUCUCCGGGGGUAGAGCACUGUUUCGGCUAGGGGGCCAUCCCGGCUUACCAACCCGAUGCAAACUGCGAAUACCGGAGAAUGUUAUCACGGGAGACACACGGCGGGUGCUAACGUCCGUCGUGAAGAGGGAAACAACCCAGACCGCCAGCUAAGGUCCCAAAGUCAUGGUUAAGUGGGAAACGAUGUGGGAAGGCCCAGACAGCCAGGAUGUUGGCUUAGAAGCAGCCAUCAUUUAAAGAAAGCGUAAUAGCUCACUGGUCGAGUCGGCCUGCGCGGAAGAUGUAACGGGGCUAAACCAUGCACCGAAGCUGCGGCAGCGACGCUGAUGCGUUGUUGGGUAGGGGAGCGUUCUGUAAGCCUGUGAAGGUGGCCUGUGAGGGUUGCUGGAGGUAUC
rnacentral:rRNA from 1 species